GCUUACACAUGCAAGUCGAGGGGCAUCACGAAUUAGCAAUAGUUUGGUGGCGACCGGCGCACGGGUGCGUAACACGUAUACAACCUACCUUCAAUUGGGGAAUAACCUGGAGAAAUUUGGACUAAUACCCCAUAGUAAACGGAAGAGGCAUCUUUUUUGUUUUAAAGAUUUAUUGAUUGGAGAUGGGUAUGCGUAGGAUUAGCUAGUUGGUAAGGUAACGGCUUACCAAGGCGACGAUCCUUAGGGGUUCUGAGAGGAAGGUCCCCCACACUGGUACUGAGACACGGACCAGACUCCUACGGGAGGCAGCAGUGAGGAAUAUUGGUCAAUGGUCGAGAGACUGAACCAGCCAAGUCGCGUGAAGGAAGACGGCUCUAUGAGUUGUAAACUUCUUUUGUACAGGAGUAAAGUGAGACACGCGUGUUUUAUUGCAAGUACUGUACGAAUAAGCAUCGGCUAACUCCGUGCCAGCAGCCGCGGUAAUACGGAGGAUGCAAGCGUUAUCCGGAUUUAUUGGGUUUAAAGGGUGCGUAGGCGGUAUUACAAGUCAGGGGUGAAAUCUUGGUGCUUAACAUUAAAAUUGCCUUUGAAACUGUGGUACUUGAGUGUAAAAGAGGUAGGCGGAAUGUGUUGUGUAGCGGUGAAAUGCAUAGAUAUAACACAGAACCCCGAUUGCGAAGGCAGCUUACUAUCAUACAACUGACGCUGAUGCACGAAAGCGUGGGGAUCAAACAGGAUUAGAUACCCUGGUAGUCCACGCAGUAAACGAUGAUUACUAGCUGUUAGCGAUAUAUUGUUAGUGGCUAAGCGAAAGCGAUAAGUAAUCCACCUGGGGAGUACGUUCGCAAGAAUGAAACUCAAAGGAAUUGACGGGGGCCCGCACAAGCGGAGGAACAUGUGGUUUAAUUC
rnacentral:rRNA from 1 species